AAUUGACCUCGGAUCAGGUAGGGAUACCCGCUGAACUUAAGCAUAUCAAUAAGCGGAGGAAAAGAAACCAACAGGGAUUGCCUCAGUAACGGCGAGUGAAGCGGCAACAGCUCAAAUUUGAAAUCUGGCUCCUUCGGGGUCCGAGUUGUAAUUUGUAGAGGAUGUUUCGGGCGCGGCGCCGGUCUAAGUUCCUUGGAACGGGGCGUCAUAGAGGGUGAGAAUCCCGUAUGUGACCGGCGACCAAGCCCAUGUGAAACUCCUUCGACGAGUCGAGUUGUUUGGGAAUGCAGCUCAAAAUGGGUGGUAAAUUUCAUCUAAAGCUAAAUACUGGCCAGAGACCGAUAGCGCACAAGUAGAGUGAUCGAAAGAUGAAAAGCACUUUGGAAAGAGAGUCAAAAAGUACGUGAAAUUGUUGAAAGGGAAGCGCUUGCAACCAGACCUGCCCGCGGGCGACCAACCGUCCCUUCCGGGGCGGUGCACGCGUCCGCGAACAGGCCAGCAUCGGUUCGGGCGGCCGGAUAAAGGCCUUGGGAACGUAGCUCCUCUCGGGGAGUGUUAUAGCCCUUGGCGCAAUGCGGCCAGCCUGGACCGAGGACCGCGCUUCGGCUAGGAUGCUGGCGUAAUGGUUGUAAGCGGCCCGUCUUGAAACACGGACCAAGGAGUCUAACAUCUAUGCGAGUGUUUGGGUGUCAAACCCAUACGCGUAAUGAAAGUGAACGGAGGUAGGAACCCUUAAGGGCGCACUAUCGACCGAUCCUGAUGUCUUCGGAUGGAUUUGAGUACGAGCAUAGCUGUUGGGACCCGAAAGAUGGUGAACUAUGCCUGAAUAGGGUGAAGCCAGAGGAAACUCUGGUGGAGGCUCGCAGCGGUUCUGACGUGCAAAUCGAUCGUCAAAUUUGGGUAUAGGGGCGAAGUAAGUUGAUACCAUGGAACGAUUGUGAAGGAACAGAAUGCUAAUGAAUUUUUUAGAGACUAAUCG
rnacentral:rRNA from 1 species